UACGUAGGCAGCAAGCGUUGUUCGGAAUUACUGGGCGUAAAGAGUGCGUAGGCGGUUCCGCAAGUUUGUCGUGAAAUCUCCCGGCUUAACUGGGAGGGUGCGGCGAAAACUGCGGGGCUGGAGUGUGGGAGAGGUAAGCGGAAUUCCUGGUGUAGCGGUGAAAUGCGUAGAUAUCAGGAGGAACACCGGCGGUGUAGACGGCUUACUGGACCAUGACUGACGCUGAGGCACGAAAGCGUGGGGAGCAAACAGG
rnacentral:rRNA from 1 species